rnacentral:rRNA from 1 species
GACAGAGGAGCCAAGCGUUGUCCGGACUGACUGGGCGUAAAGCGCCCGCAGGCGGUCGUGCGCGUGGGGUGUGAAAGCGCUCGGCUUAACUGAGCGAGGCCAUCCCAUACGGCGCGACUCGAGCCGUCCAGAGGCCGGUGGAAUUGCCGGUGUAGUGGUGAAAUGCGUAGAGAUCGGCAGGAACACCUGUGGCGAAAGCGGCUCACUGGACCAUAACUGACGCUGAGGCACGAAAGCUAGGGGAGCAAACAGG